rnacentral:tRNA from 1 species
CGUAGUUCAGUUGGUUAGAACGCCGGCCUGUCAAGCCGGAGGUCGCGAGUUCAAAUCUCGUCGGUCCCGCAA